UCGACGUGCUUGGCCAGUAAGCGGGAGGUUUGUUGCGGAGUGGCCGCGCGACCCGAGAAGCCUAUAAAAGGAGGCCAGGCGGGAGCGUGCUUUCGCCCCCUGGAUAGCUGUGCGCCGUCGUGUCCGUUUGUCUGUCAGGAACUGCACGGGAGGGGAGGAGCCACUGUCGCCGCUGACGACAUCGGCAGAGACCGGCAGGCUCGCGACAAAGCUUUAAGGACCGGAUUCCGGUUCCUCCUGGGAAAGGCGAGCCGAGCGGCGUUUAAACGUUCGAGGCAGCGGCGCACUCUGGGCUAGAGAUCAUGGCCGAGGUGGAGCACCAGUUUGGCGCCACCCAAAACGGGCACGAAGCGGCGGCGGCCGCGGCGGCCGAGGGAUCCGUGAGUGGCGGCGACGAGGAGCUGUUGCAGCCGGAGCAGCAGCUUGAAGAGGAGGAGGAAGAGGAAGAGGUGGUGGCGGCGGCAGUGGUGGUGGCCGAGGCCGGAGAGGAGGGGGACGGCGAAGGAGAAAGCGAGGAGGCAGGGCAAUCGGUAGCUUCUGCAGAAGCUAGCGGCAGCCAGAACGGAGCCGAAGGCGAUCAGAUCAAUGCAAGCAAGAACGAGGAGGACGCGGGGAAAAUGUUUGUUGGUGGUCUCAGUUGGGAUACAAGCAAAAAAGACUUAAAAGACUACUUUACUAAAUUUGGUGAAGUAACUGAUUGCACAAUAAAGAUGGAUCCCAAUACAGGCAGAUCAAGAGGUUUUGGAUUCAUUCUCUUCAAAGAAGCAGGAAGUGUUGAUAAGGUUUUGGAGCAAAAAGAACACAAAUUGGAUGGAAGAGUGAUUGACCCUAAGAAAGCAAUGGCAAUGAAAAAGGAUCCUGUGAAGAAAAUAUUUGUUGGUGGACUUAACCCAGAGGCAACAGAAGACAAAAUCAGGGAAUAUUUUGGAGAGUUUGGAGAGAUUGAAGCGAUUGAACUUCCAAUGGAUCCAAAGACCAAUAAAAGAAGGGGGUUUGUAUUCAUCACAUUUAAGGAAGAAGAACCAGUGAAGAAAAUAUUAGAGAAAAAGUUCCACAAUGUCAGUGGUAGUAAGUGUGAAAUUAAGGUAGCACAGCCAAAAGAAGUAUAUCAGCAGCAACAGUUUGGUUCUGGGGGCGGCCGAGGAAGAGGUGGAAGAAGAGGUCAAGGCAGUUCAAAUUAUGGGAAGGCUCCAAGACGUGGUCAUCAGAAUAACUACAAGCCAUAUUGAUCAAAAGUAUUCAGGGUUUGAAUUAAGUGAAUGAAUGGGUGCAGAUACUGUCUAUGAGAGCAGACACAGGCCACAUAAAGCUACCACUGCGGAUGGAUGAUAUGGACAAGUUAAGCCAUGGAAAAGAAAAGAAACACAAACAUUUUGACAGUUUAGAAAGGACUGGAGUUAAAUUUACCUGACUACACAGGUCUGACCUAAGAGAGUUACUAAAGAGAACAUAAUUUCACACUUGCCAUGAGCAACAUUAUUGAUACAGUCAAGGUACUGGUUUCCAUUUUCAUCAUACAUAUAUUGGCCCUUUGCCUGGAUAACCUUCACUGGAUCUUCUGGAAAAAAAAGCUUGCAGGAUGACCUUUAAUGAAAUAUUUUUAAAAAAAUUAACUUAAUUGGAACAAAUUAAAAUUGUUUACCAUCAAUAUAUUGCAGAUUUGAGGUAAUAAAUCAGAAACAAAAAAACCCGGUUUAAUUAGCUAUGAUACAAUAUUUAUGUUUUAAUCAAAUUCUAAGGAAAAUGUUUUUGAACUGAGUUUAGUCAUGCCUGGUUGCAAGUAAUUUGAGCAAGUAAAAGUCACUUUCUUUAAGAAUUUUUAGCAUGAUUCUAUCUCUGAAUACAAUCCUUUAUAUAAUUGAUCUGUGGAAAUCUUAAAGAAGCCACAAAGUCAGGAACUUGUUGAGGUGACAUUUGUAAUGCAUAUUUGUAGGAGAUGUGACAGUGAUACAAAAUGUUUGGGUUCAAUUGUGGUUUUAAGUCGAGGUCUAUCUGCACUGAAAAUAUUAACUUGUUCUAAGAACUUAAGUAUAGUUCUGCUGGAUCAGGGCAAACCCUUUCUUGAACCAUUUUGUUUCUCACAAUGACUAACUAAAUGCUUCUGGGGUAUUCCCAAAGCAUUAGAGGCAUACCCCUUUCCUGCAGAGUCCCCGAGCAACUGGUAUUUGGGGCAAGCCAACACAGAAGUAAUAUUUGUUUUUAGGACAACUGGCUUUGAUGGACUUACCUACUGAUGUGGCCUUGGGUAUGGAAGUAAGCUGCCUGUUCGAGCCCUCUUAAUGAGUGCUUUUAACAGACCUAUAUAUUUCUGAACAGGGCUUGAUUAACCUGAGGGGGUGGAUAGUUUGCAGGCAGUUACAGUUAUAUUGGAUCCUGAAACAAUGUUUCCUUCUCAGGAAAUCAAGUGACCAGGCUUGGUGGAUGAAAUAAGUACAAGACAGGUGGAAUUGGAAUUUCCUAUUGUCUAUAUAGCCUGGGUAUAUAAACGUUUUGGCUUGCCUAGGCCACUUUGAGUGAAUAGGAAUUGUCUUUUGCCGCAUAUCAGAUACCGUAUAGAAGAUAGUUAAUGCAUAUAAAUCAUAUACAUGUGGGGCCCCAUGAAUAGCUGUCCAGGGCCGCAUGCAGCCUGUGGGUCAUGUAGUGAUUUUCAGUGAGGCCUGAUCUGUAGUGAUUUUCAAGCUCCUAUGACCAUGCUUCACUGUGCCACUAGUAAUGAAAGGAGGUACGCAAAUUUCAAGCCAAGCCAGCACUGCAGGUUGGCUUUUAGUGUGCAUGCUAAUACAAACAUUCCGAUUGCAGUCAUUAUGCCUUAACAAUACUUGUUGGUGUCUCUAAGAGCAACAUGAUUUACAAGAGAUGUACCUUGAACUGUCCUUGUACAUAGAAGGACAAAACGCCUGUAGUUAUGAAGUUUACUUGUGUUAUCCCACAGAUAUAUAAACAAACCAACCACUAGCUUUUCAAAUUAUAGAUACACACUCAAUUACACAAUUAUAAUUAUUACAAACUGAAGAAAUCAUCUGCUCGAAGAAUCACGCCGCCUAGAUGCUAGAUCAUUUUGUAUCGCCGACUCGAGGACUAGAGAAAAUCCUCGAGCCGGAGAUAGAAAUAAAUCUGGGUAGCGCGGGGCGAUCGGGUUGAUAUCACGGGUGAACCAAUAGCGAAUCUACGCAGGUGCCGCCUUUAGAGCUGCCCUGCUGGACGAGCCGAAAGCAGCAAGACGCCCCCGGAGGCGUCGCGCCAACCGCCAGCAGCGGAAGUGUAGCGCGCGUGUAUUGCAGCGGCUCCCCCUUUCCUGUGGAAUGAGUGGGUGGGCGUCUGGCACUUUACGACACAGGAUGGUCUUUUGAGGGCCAGGCAGACUUUUCAUCCGCCGCCGAAGCACCUACCCGAUGAACUGCUUCCGUAAAGCCAGAGUCUGCUGGCGGUUGCGAGGCUCGGAGCUCAUGGCUGUCUGGGAGAGGAACCGUAGAGAUAGAAAAGUAAAAUAAAGUUCCACAAAGGAAUCUUUCAAACUUUAGUCACAGACUGAAGAUGUGAAGUGGGUUUUUUCCCAGAGAUGAUGUUUUCUUCUGGAGGAGAAGCAGCCACGGGUCAUGAAACGGAUCAAAGUGACCCAGGAUGAAACUAGUUUCUUCAAGGUUGAAGCAAGUAGCAACAAGUGUGGCUAUAGUUGUGUUACCUUUCCAGAUUGGGAAUUCUUCCUCCGUUCAUCCACAAGGUUUGUUCAAUUUCUAGGGCUGAGUCUUUUUUUUCUUUUUCGUUUUCUCUCCCUUUUCUGCCUGUGUCUAUGUGCAACAGAGUUAGAAAGUUGAAAGCUGAAAAGAUUGUCCAGGGAUGUGCUUUCUCCAUGCAAUAAAGCAAAUAUUUUCAGUAUGGUUAAUCCACACAUUAGUAUUAGCAGCAAGUGACAUCCAUUCCUGACUGUUUUAGAAUGUUGAAUGCUUCUGUGUUUCUGCAUGUGUGUAUGUGUGUGUGGUCUGUCUUGUGGCUCUCAGGAAUGUUCAUAUUUUAAAAAGUCCAUAGAUGACAAAGUCCAGUAUUAGAAGAUCAAUAUAUUACUGUUGAAAACAUUGUUUUUGUGACUUUUUCCUCUUUUUGUAUAAAAAAAAAUAAUAAAAAUAAACAUUUAUCUCACUAUUA